rnacentral:rRNA from 1 species
AACGAACGCUGGCGGCAUGCCUAACACAUGCAAGUCGAACGAGACCUUCGGGUCUAGUGGCGCACGGGUGCGUAACGCGUGGGAACCUGCCCUUAGGUUCGGAAUAACUCCCCGAAAGGGGUGCUAAUACCGGAUAAUGUCUUCGGACCAAAGAUUUAUCGCCUUUGGAUGGGCCCGCGUUGGAUUAGCUAGUUGGUAGGGUAAAAGCCUACCAAGGCGACGAUCCAUAGCUGGUCUGAGAGGAUGAUCAGCCACACUGGGACUGAGACACGGCCCAGACUCCUACGGGAGGCAGCAGUGGGGAAUCUUGGACAAUGGGCGAAAGCCUGAUCCAGCAAUGCCGCGUGAGUGAUGAAGGCCUUAGGGUUGUAAAGCUCUUUUACCCGGGAUGAUAAUGACAGUACCGGGAGAAUAAGCUCCGGCUAACUCCGUG